CUGCUCCCUUCAGCAGCACUUAUGCUAAAAUUGGAACAAUACAGAGAAGAUUACAUUGGCCCCUGCACAAGGAUGACAUGAAAAUUUGUGAAGUGGUCCAUAUUUUG